UAUCACAUUUUCGGUGGCAUU
rnacentral:siRNA from 1 species